UGACGACGAGCAAGAUGAUGAUGAUGAUGAUGAAGAUGAUGAUGAUCAUCAUCAUGAUCAUCAUCACCAUCAUGAUCAUCAUCAUCAUCACCAUCA
rnacentral:pre_miRNA from 1 species